CAGUCGCCGCGGUAAUACGAAGGGUGCAAGCGUUACUCGGAAUUACUGGGCGUAAAGCGCACGCAGGCGGUCUGACAAGUCAGAUGUGAAAUCCCCGGGCUUAACCUGGGAACUGCAUUUGAAACUGUCAGGCUGGAGUCUUGUAGAGGGGGGUGGAAUUCCAGGUGUAGCGGUGAAAUGCGUAGAGAUCUGGAGGAAUACCGGUGGCGAAGGCGGCCCCCUGGACAAAGACUGACGCUCAGGUGCGAAAGCGUGGGGAGCAAACAGGAUUAGAUACCCCUGUAGUCCCUGUCUCUUAUAC
rnacentral:rRNA from 1 species